rnacentral:rRNA from 1 species
UAGAGUUUGAUCCUGGCUCAGGACGAACGCUGGCGGCGUGCUUAACACAUGCAAGUCACGGGGGGGUCGCAAGACUCAACCGGCGAACGGGUGCGUAACACGUGAGCGACCUACCUGUUUGAGGGGGAUAGCCGGCCCAACGGCCGGGUAAUACCGCAUACGCUCUUUGGGGGGCAUUCUCUGAAGAGGAAACCUACGGGGCAGACAGAGGGGCUCGCGGCCUAUCAGCUAGUUGGCGGGGUAAUGGCCCACCAAGGCGGUGACGGGUAGCUGGUCUGAGAGGAUGGCCAGCCACAUUGGGACUGAGAGACGGCCCAGACUCCUACGGGAGGCAGCAGUGGGGAAUCUUGCGCAAUGGCCGAAAGGCUGACGCAGCGACGCCGCGUGGGGGAGGAAGGGCUUCGGCUCGUAAACCCCUGUUGCCCGGGGCGAACAGCUUCUUUCGAGGAGCCUGACGGUACCGGGUGAGGAAGCACCGGCUAACUCCGUGCCAGCAGCCGCGGUAAUACGGAGGGUGCGAGCGUUGUCCGGAAUCACUGGGCGUAAAGGGCGCGUAGGCGGCUUGUCAAGCGCGCGGUGAAAGCCCGGGGCUCAACCCCGGGUCGGCCGUGCGGACUGGCAGGCUUGAGCACUGUAGGGGCGGGUGGAAUUCCGGGUGUAGCGGUGGAAUGCGUAGAGAUCCGGAAGAACACCGGUGGCGAAGGCGGCCCGCUGGGCAGGAAGGCUCGCAAGAGCCGGCUGACGCUGAUGCGCGACAGCGUGGGGAGCAAACAGGAUUAGAUACCCUGGCAGUCCACGCCGUAACGAUGGGCACUAGGUGCUUGGGGGAGCGACCCUCCGAGUGCCGGCGCUAACGCAUUAAGUGCCCCGCCUGGGGAGUACGGCCGCAAG